rnacentral:rRNA from 1 species
UGCCCAGACUCCUACGGGAGGCAGCAGUGAGGAAUAUUGGUCAAUGGGCGGGAGCCUGAACCAGCCAAGUCGCGUGAGGGAUGACGGCCCUAUGGGUUGUAAACCUCUUUUGCCGGGGAGCAAAGUGCCGCACGUGUGCGGUUUGGAGAGUACCCGGAGAAAAAGCAUCGGCUAACUCCGUGCCAGCAGCCGCGGUAAUACGUAGGGGGCAAGCGUUAUCCGGAUUUACUGGGUGUAAAGGGAGCGUAGACGGACUUGCAAGUCUGAUGUGAAAAUCCGGGGCCCAACCCCGGAACUGCAUUGGAAACUGUAUAUCUAGAGUGUCGGAGAGGCAAGUGGAAUUCCUGGUGUAGCGGUGAAAUGCGUAGAUAUCAGGAGGAACACCAGUGGCGAAGGCGGCUUGCUGGACGAUGACUGACGUUGAGGCUCGAAAGCGUGGGGAGCAAACAGGAUUAGAUACCCCCGUAA